rnacentral:rRNA from 1 species
GAUGAACGCUGGCGGCGUGCCUAAUACAUGCAAGUCGAGCGAACAGAUGAGGAGCUUGCUCCUCUGACGUUAGCGGCGGACGGGUGAGUAACACGUGGAUAACCUACCUAUAAGACUGGGAUAACUACGGGAAACCGGAGCUAAUACCGGAUAAUAUAUUGAACCGCAUGGUUCAAUAGUGAAAGACGGUUUUGCUGUCACUUAUAGAUGGAUCCGCGCCGCAUUAGCUAGUUGGUAAGGUAACGGCUUACCAAGGCAACGAUGCGUAGCCGACCUGAGAGGGUGAUAGGCCACACUGGAACUGAGACACGGUCCAGACUCCUACGGGAGGCAGCAGUAGGGAAUCUUCCGCAAUGGGCGAAAGCCUGACGGAGCAACGCCGCGUGAGUGAUGAAGGUCUUCGGAUCGUAAAACUCUGUUAUUAGGGAAGAACAAAUGUGUAAGUAACUAUGCACGUCUUGACGGUACCUAAUCAGAAAGCCACGGCUAACUACGUG